GGGCCCGCACAAGCGGUGGAGCAUGUGGUUUAAUUCGAUGCAACGCGAAGAACCUUACCAGGGCUUGACAUACUACAGAUCCCUUUGAAAAAAGGGGGAGUGCCUUCGGGAAUGUAGAUACAGGUGGUGCAUGGCUGUCGUCAGCUCGUGUCGUGAGAUGUUGGGUUAAGUCCCGCAACGAGCGCAACCCUUAUUUUUAGUUACCAAUUCGUUGGGUUCUCUAGAAAGACUGCCGGUGACAAACCGGAGGAAGGUGAGGAUGACGUCAAGUCAGCAUGCCCCUUAUGUCCUGGGCUACACACGUGCUACAAUGGCUAAGACAAAGAGUCGCGAGAGCUAGCA
rnacentral:rRNA from 1 species